GCCGGGUGUGGUGGCUCACACCUGUAAUCCCAGCACUUUGGGAGGCUGAGACGGGUGGAUCACCUGAGGUCAGGAGUUCGAGACCAGCCUGGCCAACUUGGGGAAAACCUGUCUCUA
rfam:Gorilla gorilla gorilla genomic chromosome, chr15, whole genome shotgun sequence